AUUGAACGCUGGCGGCAUGCUUUACACAUGCAAGCCGAACGGUAACAGGGUGCUUGCACCGCUGACGAGUGGCGAACGGGUGAGUAAUGCGUCGGAACGUGCCGAGGAGUGGGGGAUAACGCAGCGAAAGUUGUGCUAAUACCGCAUACGUACUGAGGUAGAAAGUGGGGGACCUUCGGGCCGCAGGCUACUCGACGGGCCGACGUCUGAUUAGCUAGUAGGUGAGGUAAAGGCUCACCUAGGCGACGAUCAGUAGCGGGUCUGAGAGGAUGAUCCGCCACACUGGGACUGAGACACGGCCCAGACUCCUACGGGAGGCAGCAGUGGGGAAUUUUGGACAAUGGGCGAAAGCCUGAUCCAGCCAUGCCGCGUGUCUGAAGAAGGCCUUCGGGUUGUAAAGGACUUUUGUCAGGGAGGAAAUCCCUAGUGCUAAUAACACUGGGGGAUGACAGUACCUGAAGAAUAAGCACCGGCUAACUACGUGCCAGCCGCCGCAGUAA
rnacentral:rRNA from 1 species